UGGGGAAUCUUGCACAAUGGGGGAAACCCUGAUGCAGCGACGCCGCGUGAGCGAUGACGCCCUUCGGGGUGUAAAGCUCUUUCGACGGGAACGAUGAUGACGGUACCCGGAGAAGAAGCUGCGGCUAACUACGUGCCAGCAGCCGCGGUAAUACGUAGGCAGCAAGCGUUGUUCGGAGUUACUGGGCGUAAAGAGUGCGUAGGCGGUUUCGUAAGUUUGUUGUGAAAUCUCCCGGCUUAACUGGGAGGGUGCGGCGAAAACUGCGGGGCUUGAGUGUGGGAGAGGUAAGCGGAAUUCCUGGUGUAGCGGUGAAAUGCGUAGAUAUCAGGAGGAACACCGGCGGUGUAGACGGCUUACUGGACCAUGACUGACGCUGAGGCACGAAAGCGUGGGGAGCAAA
rnacentral:rRNA from 1 species